ensembl:misc_RNA Metazoa_SRP Metazoan signal recognition particle RNA
GCUGGGCGUGGUGGCGUGUGCCUGUACUCCCAGCUACUCAGGAGGCUGAGGCAGGAGAAUUGCUUGAACCCAGGAGGCGGGGCUGCAGUGAGCCGAGAUUGUGCCACUGCACUCCUGCCUGGGCGACAGAGUGAGACUCCGUCUCAA